CAAGGUGAACAGUCUGUGGCAUGUUGGAACAAGGCGGGUCAGGGAAGUCGGCAAGUCAGAUCCGUAACUUUGAGACAAGGAUUGGCUCUAAGGGCUGGUCGCCUCAGCUGGCACCUAGCAGCUGACUUAAAACUGGUGCGGACCGGUGGAAUCCGACUGUUCAAUUAAAAAAAGCAUUGUGAAGGCCCACGGCGUGUGUUGACACAAUGUAAUUUCUGCCCAGUGCUCUGAAUGUCAAAGUGAA